AUAAACAACAAAGGAGAGAAGCAUG
rnacentral:piRNA from 1 species